GGGCCGGUAGCUUAGUUUGGAAGAGCGUGGGACUUCUAAUCCCAAGGUCACGGGUUCAAAUCCCGUCCGGCCCA
rnacentral:tRNA from 1 species